rnacentral:rRNA from 1 species
AACGAACGCUGGCGGCAGGCUUAACACAUGCAAGUCGAGCGCCCCGCAAGGGGAGCGGCAGACGGGUGAGUAACGCGUGGGAAUCUACCCAUCUCUACGGAAUAACGCAUGGAAACGUGUGCUAAUACCGUAUACGUCCUUCGGGAGAAAGAUUUAUCGGAGAUGGAUGAGCCCGCGUUGGAUUAGCUAGUUGGUGGGGGAAAGGGCUACCAAGGCGACGAUCCAUGGCUGGUCUGAGAGGAUGAUCAGCCACACUGGGACUGAGACACGGCCCAGACUCCUACGGGAGGCAGCAGUGGGGAAUAUUGGACAAUGGGCGCAAGCCUGAUCCAGCCAUGCCGCGUGAGUGAUGAAGGCCCUAGGGUUGUAAAGCUCUUUCACCGGUGAAGAUAAUGACGGUAACCGGAGAAGAGCCCCGGCUAACUUCGUGCCAGCAGCCGCCGUAACAC